GUGACUGUCGUUUGUGUGGCUGCCAGUUUUACAAGGCUGUAAACUGCAGUGGCAGGAAUUGCUUUUAUUUAUGGAUUAUGUACGGUGAACUCAGUGAGAACGGGGGCUUCGCUGUCACCACCGCUGACUCUCAGAGCCUGGAGCAGGCCUGGCCCAGAGGGGGAUCCCGCAGCUGUUUAGAAACGUACGGAUACAGGCCUGCAGUGACCACAACAGCGCGCACACAUGAGCAACCCUGGACAAAUAUUCAUUGGAUUGAAUUAAAUAGAAUCUGCACAGAAGAGGUGACACGUUCAAUGAGAACGUAACACGAAAUUCGGAGAGCAGGUCAGAAGAUACCUCAGUCUGGUAUGGAAGCUGAAAAAGAACCAACAUAAAAAC